GACGGAGGGUGCAAGCGUUGUUCGGAAUUACUGGGCGUAAAGCGCGGGCAGGUGGCUCUUUAAGUCCUUUGUGAAAUUCCGGGGCUCAACUCCGGAUGUGCAUAGGAUACUGGAGAGCUAGAGACUGGUAGAGGCGAGCGGAAUUCCUGGUGUAGCGGUGGAAUGCGUAGAUAUCAGGAGGAACACCAGUGGCGAAGGCGGUGCUCUGGGCCGGAACUGACGCUGAGGAGCGAAAGCGUGGGGAGCAAACAGG
rnacentral:rRNA from 1 species